UAUGCCGGAAAAGCGUCUGGAUACAGCCAGUACCCUUUAAGAUUAGUUUUGAUCUGUCAAAAAAAAAAAAAAAAAACAAUAGUAAGAAUAAAGUACCAUCGGAACUAAGCCAUCGAUUGCACGACAUUUUAUAGACGAGAUAUGCGCUAACAGUCACAGCGUGUUGUGUUUAUAUUAGAAAAAACUUCGUAGAAACGCAACGCCCGCCAUGUUGAAGCUGAACUUCUGGAGGGAGAAAGACAAACCAUUCAAACGUAUCGCCCAUGGUUUGGUUCCUGCCGCCUCCAUUGCCCCCAAGGCUGCUGUGCCACGUACCCCACCCCCGCGCAGCCCCGCCUCCUCACCCGAGAGACCCAGAUCAGCCUUAGCGGCUGCCAUUUUAUCUUCGUCACUGACCGGACAGACGUGGGCACUCCCACCGCCCCGUGCCUGCUCGUUCUCCGAUGGCAACCAAUCAGAGUCCUUGCUUUCUGAGCACAACAUCAGCACAUCGAUCUGUACACGAGAUCGGUCGUCUGGAGGCUUUGGCCUUCGUCAACGUCUGUCGUCCUCUGACCACUCUGAAGAGGAAAUGCAGCACCAGGAAGCAGAGGAAGAGUUGGAAGAGGAAAAAGGAGGAAACUUGGAAGAGGAGGCAUAUGUGGACCAAACAGCGGACAGACAGAAGAAGCUUUCAGAUAUCGGAGCGGCACGCAACGCUUUGGCGUUAAAGGACUUGAGGAGUUCACCCAGGUCGAGUCCGAUGUUGGCCAGCACGGAAUCUUCUCAAGAAUUCCUGAGGGAAAAUGUCAGUGAGGUUCCAGAAUCCAGCAGCAGCAAGAAAAAGAGGAACAAAGACCAUAGAAAAGAUCAGUCAUCCACCAGCCAGCCCAAAGAGCCAAAAGCAAGGAGUCGGCCAUCUCGUGAGGCAAGCAUCGGGACCGAGGAAAGGGAAGCACUGAAGGCCCUCAAGGAUAAGAGCGCCGUGCUGGAAGAGAAGUUGCGACAUCUGGAAGAGGAAAUCAAUCGCAAGGGGGCCCAGCAAAUCACAACCUCGGCCACAGGCAUGCAGGCAGAGCUGUGGGAUGCAAGGCAGCAGGCGCAGGAGCUGGUGGACGAAAACGAUGCCCUCAAACGCAGCGUCCAUCGUCUCAGCAUGGAGCUGAGUGCCUACCAGACCAAAUAUCGGCCGCUCAGCAAGCGGGAGAGCUCGAGAUUAAGCAGCCUAUCAAAGACUGUUUCUCCUCCACCGUGGCUGGUGGACAUGAAGUAUUUGUCUCCUCUGAUGUUGGCAUACGAGGACAUGUUGAAUGACAAAGAGAGUCUCCUGCGCACUGCUGAGGAGGAGGUAAAGAAGCUUCGGGUGCAUGUGGAGGAGGUGGUGAAAGAAAAUGAGGGGUUUCACUCUCAAAUGGCCAAGGAGUCCAAAAACCUCAGUCAGGAGGACUGCCAUCAAGUUCAGCAGCAGGCCUUGCUGGUGUUGCAGGAGAACCAGAUGCUGAUUGAGCAGCUGGAAGCUCUGAAUGCUAAAAACGAGGCUGAGCAAAGCAAACGUCUUUCUGAAGUGUCCCAAGUGUCCAAGCAGCUAAUGCUGCUUGAGGCAGAAAACCAGCGUUUGCGGGAGGAAGCGGAUGAGAAUAGGAUGGAGGCGCUCAAAAGCGAAAGGGAGGCCCUCGCUCUAAAAACCCGUCUCAAGGACGCCGUCACCUGGGAAGAGCACUGCAGUAUCACUGGGAAACUCAGGCGGCAGCUGGAGCAGGAGCAGAGCAGGAACAAAAGCGAGGCGGCCGAGGCACACGUAUUGCGCCAUCAAAAUUUAAGUCUGCAAGUGGACAAAACUGAAUUGAUGGCAGCUGUGGAGAGGGUACAGGCAGAGCUGAAGAGCUGUAGACAAGCCAACAGGAGGACUGAGAGACAUCUGAUUGCACUGAAGCAGCAGAAGGAAGAGUGUGUGCUCAAGGAGGGCAAGACGCGCACUUAUUUGGAAGCUGUCGUUUCUGUGGCAGAUCACAUCUCGCAGGAGCGUGACCAGCUUCUACACAUGGCCUCCAAACUCCACCAAGAAAAGCAAGGAUUCAUUGGCAGCAUCCUGAGUGGCACCGUCCGAUUUGGAAAACUGCAGGAGCGUGUCAAGCUGUACCGCAGGCUGGCGUCCAACCGACUGGCAGCGUUGGAGGAGGCGGCGGCGGGGAAGGCAGCCUCUCAUCACAGGGAGAUGGUCCACCUGCAGAGGCUGCUGGAAGAGAGACAGCAGGCAGAGGAGAGGCUGCUGCAGUCCAAACGGUGGGAGGAGGAGUAAGAAAGGCAACAAAUGACGAGGGGGAGGAGUGAUUGAUGCAGUGAAGAGAGGAGGAAGAUGCACUAGAGGGAGGUGGAGAGAGGGAGAGUGUUGCAGUUGAUCAUGUUGGAGCGGGAAGAAAGAAGGACGAAAGAAAUGGGAACAGAGGAGCUGUGAGAGAAGAGAGAUGAGAAAGAAAACAGAAGUGAAGUGGUGAGAUGAAGGAGGUGGAGGAGGAGCUGGAGGUGGUGUGGCAGGCAGCCACCAGGGAGAACCAGCAAAUCAUGGAAACUCUUCAGCACUCCAGGCCCACCUGCGACAUCCUCCGUCGGGCCUUUGCCGACACUGUCCCCCCCGAGCACC